rnacentral:rRNA from 1 species
GUGCCAGCCGCCGCGGUAAUACGUAGGGGUCGAGCGUUGUCCGGAGUUACUGGGCGUAAAGCGCAUGCAGGCGGCUCAUUACGCAUGGCGUGAAAGCCCCCGGCUCAACCGGGGAGGGUCGUCGUGAACGGGUGAGCUUGAGGGUAUCAGGGGCUGGUGGAAUUCCCGGUGUAGUGGUGAAAUGCGUAGAUAUCGGGAGGAACACCUGUGGCGAAGGCGGCCAGCUGGGAUACACCUGACGCUGAGAUGCGAAGGCGUGGGGAGCGAACGGGAUUAGAAACCCUCGUAGUCC